rnacentral:rRNA from 1 species
GGGCCCGCACAAGCGGUGGAUCAUGUGGUUCAAUUCGACGCUACGCGAAGAACCUUACCUGGGCUCGAACGACUAGUGGUACCCUUUAUGAAAGUAGAGGGGACCCGCAAGGGAGCUAGCCGAGGUGCUGCAUGGUUGUCGUCAGCUCGUGUCGUGAGAUGUUGGGUUAAGUCCCGCAACGAGCGCAACCCCUGUCCUGUGUUGCUACUCCGCAAGGAGAGGACUCUCAGGAGACUGCCGUGGAUAACACGGAGGAAGGUGGGGAUGACGUCAAAUCAUCAUGGCCUUUAUGUCCAGGGCUACACACGUGAUACAAUGGUACAGACAGAGGGCUGCAAGACCGUAAGGUGGAGCCAAUCCCUAAACUGUAUCCCAGUUCAGAUCGAGGGCUGCAAUUCGCCCUCGUGAAGUUGGAAUCGCUAGUAAUCGCAGAUCAGCAGGCUGCGGUGAAUACGUUCCCGGGCCUU